rnacentral:tRNA from 1 species
UUAUAUUUUAUAGAAUUAAACUAUAUCUAAUAAUAUCAAAAAUUAUUGUGCAUUUACACUAAAAUAUA